rnacentral:rRNA from 1 species
CGAGUGGCGGACGGGUGAGUAAUGUCUGGGAAACUGCCCGAUGGAGGGGGAUAACUACUGGAAACGGUAGCUAAUACCGCAUAACGUCGCAAGACCAAAGAGGGGGACCUUCGGGCCUCUUGCCAUCGGAUGUGCCCAGAUGGGAUUAGCUAGUAGGUGGGGUAACGGCUCACCUAGGCGACGAUCCCUAGCUGGUCUGAGAGGAUGACCAGCCACACUGGAACUGAGACACGGUCCAGACUCCUACGGGAGGCAGCAUG